rnacentral:rRNA from 1 species
GACGAACGCUGGCGGCGUGCCUAAUACAUGCAAGUCGAGCGGAAGUUGGAGAGCUUGCUCUUCAACUUUAGCGGCGGACGGGUGAGUAACACGUGGGCAACCUGCCCUGCAGAUCGGGAUAACUCCGGGAAACCGGUGCUAAUACCGAAUAGUUUUCGCCACCUCCUGGUGGCGUACGGAAAGACGGUUUCGGCUGUCACUGCAGGAUGGGCCCGCGGCGCAUUAGCUAGUCGGUGGGGUAACGGCCCACCAAGGCGACGAUGCGUAGCCGACCGGAGAGGGUGAUCGGCCACCCUGGGACUGAGACACGGCCCGGACGCCUACGGGAGGCAGCAGUAGGGAAUCUUCCGCAAUGGACGAAAGUCUGACGGAGCAACGCCGCGUGAGUGACGAAGGUUUUCGGAUCGUAAAACUCUGUUGUGAGGGAAGAACAAGUACCAACUAACUACUGGUACCUUGACGGUACCUCACCAGAAAGCCACGGCUAACUACGUGCCAACAGCCGCCGUAA